UACGUAGGUGGCAAGCGUUGUCCGGAUUUACUGGGCGUAAAGAGCGCGCAGGCGGUCGUUCAAGUCGCGUGUGAAAUCCCCCGGCUUAACCUGGGAACUGCGUCUGAUACUGGAAGGCUUGAGUGCGGGAGAGGGAUGUGGAAUUCCAGGUGUAGCGGUGAAAUGGCGCAGAUAUCGGGAGGAACACCAAUGGGCGAAGGCAGCUUGCUGGGACGGUACUGACGCUGAGGCGACGAAAGGCGUGGGGAGCAAACAGG
rnacentral:rRNA from 1 species